UACGUAGACCCCGAGCGUUAUCCGGAUUUAUUGGGCGUAAAGCGCGGGUAGGAGGUUUGGUGCGUCUGUUGUUAAAUACCACUGCUUAACGGUGGGAGCGCGACGGAUACGACCAGACUAGAGGGUGUCAGAGGGUAAUGGAACGCACGGUGUAGGGGUGAAAUCCGUUGAUAUCGUGCGGAACACCAAAGGCGAAGGCAUUUACCUGGGACAUUCCUGACUUUGAGCCGCGAAAGCGUGGGGAGCAAAAAGG
rnacentral:rRNA from 1 species